rnacentral:rRNA from 1 species
AACGCUAGCUACAGGCUUAACACAUGCAAGUCGAGGGGCAGCAUAAAAGUAGCAAUACUUUGGUGGCGACCGGCGCACGGGUGAGUAACGCGUAUGCAACCUACCUAUCAGAGGGGAAUAACCCGGCGAAAGUCGGACUAAUACCGCAUAAAACAGGGGCACCGCAUGGUGAUAUUUGUUAAAGAAAUUCGCUGAUAGAUGGGCAUGCGUUCCAUUAGGUAGUUGGUGAGGUAACGGCUCACCAAGCCGACGAUGGAUAGGGGAACUGAGAGGUUGGUCCCCCACACUGGUACUGAGACACGGACCAGACUCCUACAGGAGGCAGCAGUGAGGAAUAUUGGUCAAUGGGCGGGAGCCUGAACCAGCCAAGUCGCGUGAAGGAAGAAGGAUCUAUGGUUCGUAAACUUCUUUUGCAGGGGAAUAAAGUGCAGGACGUGUCCUGUUUUGUAUGUACCCUGAGAAUAAGGAUCGGCUAACUCCGUGCCAGCAGCCGCGGUAAUACGGAGGAUCCGAGCGUUAUCCGGAUUUAUUGGGUUUAAAGGGUGCGUAGGUGGUUUAAUAAGUCAGCGGUGAAAGUUUGCAGCUUAACUGUAAAAAUGCCGUUGAGACUGUUAGACUUGAGUGUAAAUGAGGUAGGCGGAAUGCGUGGUGUAGCGGUGAAAUGCUUAGAUAUCACGAAGAACUCCGAUUG